rnacentral:tRNA from 1 species
GCCCCUUUGGCGGAAUUGGUAGACGCGGCGCACUCAAAAUGCGUUUCCGAAAGGAGUGCUGGUUCGAGUCCGGCAAGGGGCA